rnacentral:tRNA from 1 species
GCCUGGAUAGCUCAGCUGGUUAGAGCGUGGCACUGAUAAUGCCAAGGUUGCAGGUUCAAUCCCCGAAUGGGACA